rnacentral:lncRNA from 1 species
UAUUGGUAAAUUUUAAAUUUGUAAUUUGAAUUGAAUUGUAUUGAUUUCCGUAGAACACAUUGUUAAAGAAAAACUGGUUCCGUCACGAUAUUCCUUCUUAUAGUCGCUAAGUCCAUACGAACACGUUGAAAUGUUUUGUAAUUUGAAAAAUUUAUAAAAUGUAAGAUCAUGGAAAUAUACACAAUUUACCGAUAGAAUUGAUAAAUUAAUCAAUAGGGAUACUCGACAAAGUGAUUUCUGAUGAUGAACUAUGUAAAUAGUUCGAAACGUUAAAUGACUUAACAAUAAAAUAAAUACAAAAUCAAGAGGAAUUUCAUGUAAUUGGAUUUUAAUCAUUAAAUAAUAACCAAUCCUCUUUAAUCAAUUAAUAUAUUAUAAUUA